rnacentral:rRNA from 1 species
GACGAACGCUGGCGGCGUGCUUAACACAUGCCAGUCGAACGGAAAGGCCCUGCUUUUGUGGGGUGCUCGAGUGGCGAACGGGUGAGUAACACGUGAGUAACCUGCCCUUGACUGUGGGAUAACUUCAGGAAACUGGGGCUAAUACCGGGUAGGAGCUCCUGCUGCAUGGUGGGGGUUGGAAAGUUUCGGCGGUUGGGGAUGGACUCGCGGCUUAUCAGCUUGUUGGUUGGGUAGUGGCUUACCAAGGCUUUGACGGGUAGCCGGCCUGAGAGGGUGACCGGACACAUUGGGACUGAGAUACGGCACAGACUCCUACGGGAGGCAGCAGUGGGGAAUAUAGCACAAUGGGCGGAAGCCUGCUGUAGCAACGCCGCGUGCGGGAUGACGGCAAUCGGGUUGUAAACCGCUUUCGCCUGUGACGAAGCGUGAGUGACGGUAAUGGGUAAAGAAGCCCCGGCUAACUACGUG